CACAGCCAGCAGGCCGAAAAGAGCUGCUGUUUCCCUCCCUCCUCCCCAUCGCACAACAGCAAUAAGUCUCCUGUAAGUCCCGGCAGAGCCAAGGCUUGUUUAUGGCCUGGCUGGUCUACCGCACACUAUUGUCAACUGGGGCCUGCGGGAUGAUGACUCCUACGUGUGAGACAAGCGUUACGGCUCAUAAGCCACCCAUUGCAUGUAAACACCGCCCCCACGCCAUUUGCAGUCCAAACAUUGCAGUGUUGUGCUGGUGCAUGAGAACCAGAAAGGGACACAGAGUAGAAACAAAAUUAACCCUGGAGAGAGGAGAGUGGACAGCAAGAAGUGAAGAGUUCUGGCUGCUUUGGGAAAAACACUACUUUUACAUUUGGAGACCAGAAGCCAUUUGUUUCUGCACUUACCUCUGACUGGUGCUGGAUGGUUGAGACACACUAAACCAUGGUAAUAACGGCAAAGACCGAGAAAGCACAGAGGUAAGGAGGAUUCCUUCAUGCCCCAGGCACAGACCCAAUGACCAGCAUGCUGAGCACCAUCUUGCAAUUCCUGUACCUUCUGUCUCUCGGUUGCCAUGUCUCAGGGAGAUUAUGUCUAUGCAAUGAGCGACUGUCAUCUCUGAAAAAGAUAAAAUACAAAGCAUCCCAAGAGCCUGGAGAGUGAUGGUGGUAGCAGAAACUGCAUCACUGUCGAGAUGUGGGUUGAAGACAGUGAUGCACAUUGACACACUGGAGUGGGGGGUCAGACUUACUGGCCCAAAUACCUUGAUUAAACACCAACUUGUGGGGAGACAAAAGACCUGAAAACUCAAGAGUCUCAAAUUUGCCCUAGGAGCAAACUUCUGGGGUUCCAGAGAAUAGGCAGGUGGCUAAUGUUGCCCUGUGUAGGAAAGAGCCAAUGCCUACACUGUUGUUACUAUAGAUAGCCAUCAAAUUGGAUCCCAUAUGUAUAGGAAAGAGAACAGUACCUCCAAAAGAGAUACAGGCAACUGAUAAUACAGUGAGUCAGGGCCACGCAUCCCUUCUGCAAUAAAUUCCAUUUACAUAAAUGGAAAUAGGUGCCUAAAUAACACCCACUUGCUAAUAUGGCUGAUUGCAGGAUCAGGCCCCUGUGUGUGAUACUCAAGGGUUAUUAUAGACUAUACACAGCAAUUAAAGAAUGCAUGAGGCAUCCUUGGUCCCUUUCAUCUGUGACCCCAAGUCCAGCUCCUCAAGCCAGGAGGCCUGGAUAUAGUUCAAUAAAGCAGUAUCAAGUCCUUUGCAAUAAAGCUAUACAAUGGCCGAGGCCCUCCUGCAAUAGAGCAAUUCACAGGUGAAAUCAAUCAGGGAGCAACAAUCAAAGGAAAUGGACAUUUUAGACUGACUGGAAACAGAGCUGCCCUACUACAUGCUGCAGGUUUGAAAAUGAACUGCUAAUUGCAAUGGUAGGCCCAUUCAGAGUAUGUCUAUCUUGCAAUAAAACACCCCCGGCUGGCCCAUGUCAGCUGACUCAGGGUCGGAGGGCUCAGAGUGUGGGGCUAUAAAACUGCAGUGUGGAUGUCUGGGCUCAGGGUGCAGCCUGGGCUCUGGGACCCCACAAGAAUACGCCAAAAUUGUAGAGCACUGAGUACAAUUCUGCUCCAACUGUAUCUAAAGCCACCUCUUAAGCAACCAGUUUGUUAGCCCCUUGAGAAGCCACUUAGAGAUCUCACUGUACUUUUAGUCUGCAGUUCAGAGAGCUCACCUACAGUUUCAUAACUUUGACAGAAACAGUCUUCCCUCAACCAACUGAGCAUCUCCUAGUUUAAACUGGAUUUUUUUCCCAUUUGAGAGUACUGCUUUAGUUAGCUGUAUAUAAAAGCAGACAAAUAUAAACUGUGUUAUAAAGAUGAAAUACACAGUAAGUACAUGACAGGUUGUUCUGGACACUUUAAAUACAGUAUUUCAUUGUGUUCUGGAUACUUUAAAUACAAUAUUUCAUUGCUCAUUUUGGGCAACAGUUCUAUCAAUUGGAGGUUUCACCCAAACCCAAACAAAACAUUUUUAAGGUUCAGACCAGUCUAGUUUAAUCAGCCACCCUCAUAGUGCAAAAAGCAAACAUCCCAUAAAAGGCAAAGAGCAAACUAAAUAUUUACAUUUUCAGUUUUAAUAAUCUGCAGUGUUCGCAACACACAAGGAAGUGUUACUAGCCUGACACUGCCUUCUGAAAAAAGUCAGCUAAACAAUUCUUUAUCUUAAAGUGCAACAGGCUAAGAGAAAAUCCAUGUUGAAUUUAUAGAGCUUUCAUCCACCGUACAUUUUGGCCUCUAAGGUAGUUGCAUCUGAAGAAGUGGUUUUUUACUCACGAAAGCUUAUGCCCAAAUAAAUCUGUUAGUGUUUAAGGUGCCACAGGACUCCUUGUUGUUUUUGUGGAUACAGACUAACACGGCUACCCCCUGAUACUUAAGGUAGUUCUGUAUUUUCACCUGCACUUAAAAUAUCUCAGGCUCUGAUCUCCUAAACUAAGCAGAGACAGACCUGGGAAAGAAUCAUAUGCAAGAUCUCCAAGACAACCCAGAGUGUGCUGCAGGAAGUGGUGCUGGCAAUUUAGUGGGGGGCACUUUCCAUCAAGUCAGGACUGCUCUAAAGCUUCAGCACAGAGUUAAGGGUGUUGUCUAGAGAUGAAGCACUUGGGAUGAGAUGUAAAAAUCACACAACCUCCCCUGCAGCACCAAUACCCCCUCCCCCCAGCCUCUCAAUGUGUUUUCCAUUAAAAAACCUGUGAGACUUCUGACAAAUUGUUAAUCCCAGUAUCCUGGCUACAAUGCAAAGUGGCUCAUCUACUGAGAUGCAUACAUUUCCUUCGAAGAGAAAACAUGUCUGGCGGAUUGAUUGAUUUAGGGGAGUCCCACAACACAAACAACAGCAGAACACGGCUGGGUUUUUGCUUUUUUUUUUUUUUUUAAUUGAAAAUUUACAUUAAAGUUAGAAAGGAAUCACGCUUAACAGUGCUGGUUCUUUAAUGUUUGUCAUGUAAAUACAGAGCUGCAGUGCAGUUUUUCACACUUCCAUUUGUAAAAAGGAAACAAAAAAUAAAGGAGAGAGACAGUAGAAUACAGUUUGGAGAAACAUGCAGUGAAUGUUCCAAGAGAGAACGAGACAAGCAAAAAGUUUUAGGACAGGCAUCAAAUGCAUUUUAAGGACACUGCACUCUACUCACAUGGUAUUUGGAUGGAGCAUGACCAGCCACUGACAGCUCCGCCCCUCCCAUCUCAAUAACACUAAGUGCAAGAUCAUUCUCUAACUAAAGCGCACAGGGAGAGGUCACACUAUUUGGAGUGUUUUACACAAUAAAUGAUUUCACAUUAAAAAAAAUCUCACUCAACCUGUGGUCAAUCAGGUGAUGCAGUUUAAUAAUGUGGUGGAGGCACCAAAUGACAGUAAUGGAAACAUUUCGUUUUGCUUUACUUCCUUGUUAAAAUUAAGUAUUUUGUGGCUGUCAAUGUGGCAAAUCACCCCUUGUUUAUAUCUCCUUCAUCAAACGCAACAAUUUACAGAACAAACCAAUGAACUCACAUACUGAAAACACCCUGUCAGGCUUCAACAGAUCCUUAGGGGAGUCCAUGACCUUUCUAUUAGGCCAAAUUAGAGG